UUUGGGGACCGGUCACCGAAUGCGCGUCAAAGUUCGCCGCGUGGAGGGUGAAGAAAGAGGCUGCGCCUCAAGACUUCCAGAAACGUAUCCUGUGAUUGCAGCCAGCAGGCUUUCUGCCGAGUCCAAACGCUAUCGAGUUUUUUUGGGUUUGGAGUCAAAAGGAGUUAAGGUGCGGCCCGUGAACCACGCGGUGUAGGUGGAAAUUUUGGACUCAGCGCCUCGUUGCUGGCUGGUGUCUGAGCGGGUGAAUCGUGCCUCCCUGGCAGUAUAGACAUUACCCUCCUUCUUGAGUAGACUUUUGCCGCUCCCCGACUAUGGACCGAGUCGUUGGGAUAAGAAUGGAGGAAAAUCAAAGAUCAGAGUUGUGUAGAGAGGGUAUUCAACGGGUGGCCAACUGGUAGAAUCUUGUCUGAUACCAACCCCGAGGCUGCUCUAGGCUUCUUUUUCAUGAGUCAAACUUGAUCUCUGACUAGGUGCUGGUCAGUCACUCAAUCUAUCCAGGCCUCAGUUUCCUCAUUUGUAAAAUGAGAUUGGACCAGAUGGUCUCUUCCAGCACUUAUAUUCUGAAGCUAACGACAGAACAAAGGUACCGAUGCAAGAGAACAUAGGGCCUGUUGGUGACACUGGUUGAUCUAAGACAUUUAGACUUGUUUUUGGUAGCACCUGCAAACCGUUGACAAUUUAGGACCGAGCAUGAGCAUGAUCAAGGUUGUGUUUUAGGGAAAAUAAUAGGGAGAUAGUCUAGAGAGGAUAAAACUGAAGAUGGGAGAAUCACUUGAGAGGCUGGGACAGCGACAUACGGAGGAGUUGCCAGGGGAAGUAAAAAGGAGGAAAUUCAAGGGACACCACAGAAGAGAGAUAGGGCACGAAGUGGCCACAACCUGCAACUGACUGGGAGAGGGGAGCAAUGGAAGGUGAGCCAGGUUCUCAAGACUGGGUUAUGGCAUGCAAGGAGCAGCAGACUCCAAAGGAGGGAAGCCGUUUAGGAAGACUCUGCCCCUAUCUGGAUAAAUGCCAGCAAACCUAGGAAUCAAGAGGGGAUUCCAGACUAAAGGGGGCACCCCCUCCUUGCAGAUCCACUACCAAGUGCUCAACCUGUCCAAGAAAAUGUUACAUAGAAGAGACUAAACAAGGACGCAUCCAAUCUACACCUGUACCUAGAUCUGAUCAAUACCAUUCUGAUGUCUGCAUUUAUUUACUUGUUUAUUUAUUUAUAGAGACAGGGUUGGGUUUCACUAUGUUGCCCAGGCUUGUCUUGAACUCCCCAGUUCAAGCGGUCCACCUGCCUCAGCCCCCCAAGGUGCUGGGAUUACAGUCAUGAGCCACCACCUGUACUAAAAAUACAAAAAUUAGCCAAGCAUGGUGGCGGGCGCCUGUGGUCCCAGCUACUCAAGAGGCUGAAGCAGGAGAAUCAAUUGAACCUGGGAGACUGAGGUGGCAGGCAGUGAGCCGAGACUGUGCCACUGCGCUUCAGCCUGGGCAACAGAGCGAGGCUCUGUCUCAAAAUAAAAUAAUAUUCUUUCAUUCAACAAAGAUUUGAGUGUGAGUGCCUACUGUGUGUCAGGCAGUUUUCUAGUUGCUUGGGUACAUCUAUGAGCCAAUCAAAUAUCUUUUUUUUUUUUUUUUUUUAGACAGAGGCUCGCUCUGUUGCACAGGCUGGAGUGCAGUGGUGUGAUCUCGGCUCACUGCAACCUCCACCUCCUGGGUUCCAGCAAUUCUCCUGCCGCAGCCUCCCGAGUAGCUGGGGUUACAGGCACAGCCACCAGGCCAGGCUAAUUUUUGUAUUUUUAGUAGAGACAGGUUUCACCAUGUUGGUCAGGCUGGUCGUGAACUCGUGACCUCAUGAUCCACCCACCUCAGCCUCCCAAAGUGCUGGGAUUAUAGGCGUGAGCCACUGCACUCGGCAAGUAUCUUAAAAGGUGGCAAAUGCUUUGAAAAAAUAGAACAGGCUGGACUGGGAGAAGGCCCCUGAAGGAGCUGCCUUUUGGAGUGCUGUAAAAGUUAUAUUUCUUGAUCUGAAUGAUAAUUAUACGAGUAGACGCAUAUGCAAGAAUUCAUUGACCUGUAUGCUUAAGAUUUAUACAUUAAAAAAUAAUAGACCAGGCACGAUGGCUCACACCUGUAAUCCCAGCACUUUGGGAGAUCAAGGCAGGUGGAUCAUGAGGUCAGGAGUUCAAGAUCAGCAUGGCCAAGAUGGUGAAACCCUGUCUCUACUAAAAAUACAAAAAAUUAGCCAGGCGUGAUGGUGGGCAUCUGUAAUCCCAGCUACUGAGGAGGCUGAGGCAGAUAAUUGCUUGAACCCUGAAGGCAGAGGUUGCAGUGAGCUGAGAUUGCCCCACUGCACUCCAGCCUGGGCAACAGAGCGAAUAAUAAUACUACUACUAAUAAUAAUUGAGCAGGAUUAAGAGAUUAGGAUUUGGAGGAUGAGUCACAAUUUUAAAUAAUGUGGUCAGGGUAGGCUUCUUGAAAAGCUGCAUUUGAAAAAUGACUUGCAAGAAGGUAGAGUUUCAUCUUUGAUGAGACAAAUCCUUUGAAAACCCAUUUUGCAUGGAACCCACCAGAUGGAGGCAUGUUAAAACCUUAUCCUAGGCGCAGUGCCUCACGCCUAUAAUCCCAGCACUUUGCGAGGCUGAGGCCAGUGGAUUGCUCGAGCCUAGGAGUUCGAGACCAGCCUGGGAAACAUGGUGAAAUCCCAUCUCUACAAAAAAUACAAAAUAAAAUUAGCUGGGUGUGGUGGCCCGCACCUGUAGUCCCAGCUACUCAGGAGGCUGGGGUGGGAGGAUCCUUUGAGCCCAGGAAGUGAAGGCUGCAGUGAGCUGUGAUUGCACCACUGCACUCAAGCCUGGGUGACAGGGCAAGACACUGUCUCC
rnacentral:lncRNA from 10 species